rnacentral:rRNA from 1 species
AACGAACGCUGGCGGCAUGCUUAACACAUGCAAGUCGAACGGCAACGCCCUGCUUGCUUGCGCUGCUGGAGUGGCGAAGGGGUGAGUAACACGUGAGUAACCUGCUCUUUACUUUGGGGUGAGUUCAGGCAACUGGAGCUAAUCCCAGAUAGGAUCUCCCGCUGCAUGGUGGGGGUUGGAAAGUUUCGCCGGUUGGGGAUGUACUGGCGGCUUAUCAGUUUGUUGGUUGGCUAGUGGAAUACCAAGGCAUUGACCGGUAGGCGGCCUGAGAGGGUGACCGGCCCCAUUGGGACUGAGAUACGGACCAGCCUGCAAUGGUAGGCAACGGUGGGGAAUAUUGUCCAGUGGGAGGAAGCCUGAUGCGACAACGCCGCGUGCGGGAAGACCUCAUGGGGGUUGUGAACCGCAUCAGCUUGAGACGAAGCGUUAGUGACGGUAAUGGGUGAAUAAGCACCGGCUAACUACGUG